rnacentral:rRNA from 1 species
CGGAACGGUAUCAUCCGUUUCGGGGGUGAGAGAGUGGCGAACUGGUGAGUAACACGUAGGUUAUCUACCUCAAGACGGGGACAACCAGGGAACUUGGGCUAAUACCGGAUGAGUGCAGCACCUUGUAGUUUUCCGGUGGGCGGUGAAUGGUUAAAUCUAUUUACCGGACAUUGGGAAAUGAAGGUGCUGUAUAAAAGAUGGCGUAAGCUGUCGUUUGAGGAUGAGCCUGCGCUCUAUUAGUUAGUUGGUGGGGUAAUGGCCUACCAAGGCGAUGAUAGAUAGGCGGCCUUAACGGGUGGCCGCCCACACUGGGAUUGAGAUACGGCCCAGACUCCGUACGGGAGGCAGCAGUCGAGAAUAGUCUACAAUGGACGAAAGUCUGAUAGUGCGACGCCGCGUGAACGAAGAAUCCCUUCGGGGUGUAAAGUUCUUUUAUAUGUGAGCAAUGCUUUUUAUGUGAAUAGCAUGAGAAGAGAGAUAUUAGCAUAUGAAUAAGCAACGGCUAACUCCGUG